rnacentral:rRNA from 1 species
AUUGAACGCUGGCGGCAGGCCUAACACAUGCAAGUCGAGCGAGCGGCGGACGGGUGAGUAAUGUCUGGGGAACUGCCUGAUAGAGGGGGAUAACUACUGGAAACGGUAGCUAAUACCGCAUACUAUCGGAUGUACCCAUAUGGGAUUAGCUAGUAGGUGGGGUAAAGGCUCACCUAGGCGACGAUCUCUAGCUGGUCUGAGAGGAUGAUCAGCCACACUGGAACUGAGACACGGCCCAGACUCCUACGGGAGGCAGCAGGGGGGAAUAUUGCACAAUGGGCGCAAGCCUGAUGCAGCCAUGCCGCGUGUAUGAAGAAGGCCUUCGGGUUGUAAAGUACUUUCAGCGGGGAGGCGUUACCCGCAGAAGAAGCACCGGCUAACUCCGUGCCAGCAGCCGCGGUAAUUC